AGCUCUGGAGGGCACCUUAUCAGAGACGGAGGCAACGUUUGGUUCCCAGCUUUCCCAGUUACAAUGCAUGAUUGAUAACAUUGAAGGUCAGCUGACACAGAUCCGAUCUGACCUAGAACAACAGAAUCAUGAAUACCAAGUUCUCAUGGACCAGAAGACCCAUCUAGAGAUGGAAAUCAACACCUAUAGACAUCUGCUGGAUGGACAUGACAUUCAUAUUUCCAAUCAUACCAGUUCUGGAGCAUCCCAUGACAACAAGUGCAAGUAAUGGCCAUGUGCUUCUCAAUAAGCUCUUGAUGCCUCUCUAGAUAAAGAAUAACAUGAAUUGAAUCAUUAUGAAAUCAACUUCUCUGGAAUUAGCAACCUGCC